rnacentral:tRNA from 1 species
GGAAAGGUAUCGAAGUGGUCGUAACGAGCCGCACUCGAAAUGCGGUUGUCGGUAACCCGGCACAUGGGUUCGAAUCCCAUCCUUUCCGCCA